GUGAAGAGCAAAGUAGCUGACCCAGAUAUACUAUUGUAGAUAGAUACAUAGAAGAAACAGUAGCUUAUCUUCUGUACCAACAAUGUUCCCAAAAUGGCUGCAGAUAUACCAAGCUGUCACGAUCGUUGUAUAAAUAAUCGGACCAGGGCGCAGCGAGGAACCGCCCAUGCACUGCAGAGGAGGAGCCGUGACACAUGGUAGUAAAUUAUAGCAUUAUGGUGAAUGUGAUUAAUCUGG
rnacentral:lncRNA from 1 species